UCCCUGGUGGCUAAGAUGGUAAAGAAUCUGCCUGCAGUGCAGGAGACCUGGGUUCAAUCCCUGAACUGGGAA
rnacentral:tRNA from 1 species